rnacentral:rRNA from 1 species
UACGAAGGGGGCUAGCGUUGCUCGGAAUCACUGGGCGUAAAGCGCACGUAGGCGGCUUCUUAAGUCAGGGGUGAAAUCCUGGAGCUCAACUCCAGAACUGCCUUUGAUACUGAAGAUCUUGAGUUCGGGAGAGGUGAGUGGAACUGCGAGUGUAGAGGUGAAAAUUCGUAGAUAUUCGCAAGAACACCAGUGGCGAAGGCGG